GGAGUUGUGCCUGAAGUAAAGGGCCACUUUGAUAGAGUGACUUAUGGGGGUUAAAGUCCCCCCAGCUCCU
rnacentral:tRNA from 1 species